GAUGAACGCUGGCGGCGUGCCUAAUACAUGCAAGUCGAGCGAAUGGAUUAAGAGCUUGCUCUUAUGAAGUUAGCGGCGGACGGGUGAGUAACACGUGGGUAACCUGCCCAUAAGACUGGGAUAACUCCGGGAAACCGGGGCUAAUACCGGAUAACAUUUUGAACCGCAUGGUUCGAAAUUGAAAGGCGGCUUCGGCGGUCACGUAUGGAUGGACCCGGGUCGCAUUAGCUAGUUGGUGAGGUAACGGCGCACCAAGGCAACGAUGCGUAGCCGACCUGAGAGGGUGAUCGGCCACACUGGGACUGAGACACGGCCCAGACUCCUACGGGAGGCAGCAGUAGGGAAUCUUCCGCAAUGGACGAAAGUCUGACGGAGCAACGCCGCGUGAGUGAUGAAGGCUUUCGGGUCGUAAAACUCUGUUGUUAGGGAAGAACAAGUGCUAGUUGAAUAAGCUGGCACCUUGACGGUACCUAACCAGAAAGCCACGGCUAACUACGUGCCAGCAGCCGCCGUAA
rnacentral:rRNA from 1 species